rnacentral:sRNA from 1 species
UUGUAUCGCCGGCUUGAUCA